CAGUCGCCGCGGUAAAACGUAGGUGGCAAGCGUUGUCCGGAAUUAUUGGGCGUAAAGGGCUCGCAGGCGGUUUCUUAAGUCUGAUGUGAAAGCCCCCGGCUUAACCGGGGAGGGUCAUUGGAAACUGGGAAACUUGAGUGCAGAAGAGGAGAGUGGAAUUCCACGUGUAGCGGUGAAAUGCGUAGAGAUGUGGAGGAACACCAGUGGCGAAGGCGACUCUCUGGUCUGUAACUGACGCUGAGGAGCGAAAGCGUGGGGAGCGAACAGGAUUAGAGACCCCCGUAGUCCCUGUCUCUUAUAC
rnacentral:rRNA from 1 species